rnacentral:rRNA from 1 species
GACGAACGUUGGCGGCGUGCUUAACACAUGCAAGUCGAACGGAAAGGCCCUGCUUUUGUGGGGUGCUCGAGUGGCGAACGGGUGAGUAACACGUGAGUAACCUGCCCUUGACUUUGGGAUAACUUCAGGAAACUGGGGCUAAUACCGGAUAGGAGCUCCUGCUGCAUGGUGGGGGUUGGAAAGUUUCGGCGGUUGGGGAUGGACUCGCGGCUUAUCAGCUUGUUGGUGGGGUAGUGGCUUACCAAGGCUUUGACGGGUAGCCGGCCUGAGAGGGUGACCGGCCACAUUGGGACUGAGAUACGGCCCAGACUCCUACGGGAGGCAGCAGUGGGGAAUAUUGCACAAUGGGCGGAAGCCUGAUGCAGCAACGCCGCGUGCGGGAUGACGGCCUUCGGGUUGUAAACCGCUUUCGCCUGUGACGAAGCGUGAGUGACGGUAAUGGGUAAAGAAGCACCGGCUAACUACGUGCCAGCAGCCGCGGUGAUACGUAGGGUGCGAGCGUUGUCCGGAUUUAUUGGGCGUAAAGGGCUCGUAGGUGGUUGAUCGCGUCGGAAGUGUAAUCUUGGGGCUUAACCCUGAGCGUGCUUUCGAUACGGGUUGACUUGAGGAAGGUAGGGGAGAAUGGAAUUCCUGGUGGGGCGGUGGAAUGCGCAGAUAUCAGGAGGAACACCAGUGGCGAAGGCGGUUCUCUGGGCCUUUCCUGACGCUGAGGAGCGAAAGCGUGGGGAGCGAACAGGCUUAGAUACCCUGGUAGUCCACGCUGUAAACGGUGGGUACUAGGUGUGGGGUCCAUUCCACGGGUUCCGUGCCGUAGCUAACGCUUUAAGUACCCCGCCUGGGGAGUACGGCCGCAAGGCUAAAACUCAAAGGAAUUGACGGGGCCCCGCACAAGCGGCGGAGCAUGCGGAUUAAUUCGAUGCAACGCGUAGAACCUUACCUGGGUUUGACAUGGAUCGGGAGUGCUCAGAGAUGGGUGUGCCUCUUUUGGGGUCGGUUCACAGGUGGUGCAUGGCUGUCGUCAGCUCGUGUCGUGAGAUGUUGGGUUAAGUCCCGCAACGAGCGCAACCCUUGUUCACUGUUGCCAGCACGUUAUGGUGGGGACUCAGUGGAGACCGCCGGGGUCAACUCGGAGGAAGGUGGGGAUGACGUCAAGUCAUCAUGCCCCUUAUGUCCAGGGCUUCACGCAUGCUACAAUGGCUGGUACAGAGAGUGGCGAGCCUGUGAGGGUGAGCGAAUCUCGGAAAGCCGGUCUCAGUUCGGAUUGGGGUCUGCAACUCGACCUCAUGAAGUCGGAGUCGCUAGUAAUCGCAGAUCAGCAACGCUGCGGUGAAUACGUUCCCGGGGCU